rnacentral:rRNA from 1 species
UACGUAGGGUGCAAGCGUUAAUCGGAAUUACUGGGCGUAAAGCGUGCGCAGGCGGUCUGUUAAGACCGAUGUGAAAUCCCCGGGCUUAACCUGGGAACUGCAUUGGUGACUGGCAGGCUUUGAGUAUGGCAGAGGGGGGUAGAAUUCCACGUGUAGCAGUGAAAUGCGUAGAGAUGUGGAGGAAUACCGAUGGCGAAGGCAGCCCCCUGGGCCAAUACUGACGCUCAUGCACGAA